rnacentral:misc_RNA from 1 species
GGACAUCAUAGAACAAUCUGAUGUACAUUCCAGAAACCCUCCUCCAGAAUUAUUGAUUCUCCCCUCGGAUGCUACCAUUUCCGACUUGAAGGCAGAGGCAUCAAGGAUGUUUCAAGAUGUUUACCUGAUGUUCAAAAGAUUCCAAGCUGAUGAGCUAGUUGGAUAUGGUGGUGUGAAUGAAUCUACUCAGAUCAAACUCCUUCUAGGGUCUGCUGAAUUUGUUACAGUCAGGGGAAAAUUCCUGGGGAAAAAUGGGCUGAGCAAGUAUAGAAUGGAAAGGGGAAUGGAGAGAUGGACUGUAGAUUGCUUUUGUGGAGCAAAGGAUGAUGAUGGGGAGAGGAUGUUAGCAUGCGAUGUGUGCAGUGUUUGGCAGCACACUAGAUGUGCCGGGAUCCCUGACUUGGAUGCUGUUCCUGCCAGGUUCAUUUGUCUUAAGUGCAGAUGUCUUCAUAAGACUACUAACCCAAGCGGUAAUUGCAAGGAUGAAUCAGUUGCUGGUGUGGGAUUUGGGAAGAACCUGGCUCAUGCUGUCUAAAGUGUGCUGGGAUUAUUU